rnacentral:lncRNA from 1 species
UUUGCAUUACCUAAUUCUUAAUGAUAGAUUAACUUCACUGAUCUUGGUUUGAGCGUUAACUGUAAUAGGGGUCGGCCAUCGGCCAAAUCAUCAUGGCAUGGGUCGGCCAUCGGCCAUGUUCCAGUGGUCUCGGUCAUCUCGGCCAAGUCUUCUAAGGUCUCGGCCUCUCGGCCAAGUCUUCUAAGGUCUCGGCCUCUCGGCCAAGUCUUCUCAGGUCUCGGCCUCUCGGCCAAGUCUUCCCAAGUCUCGGCCUCUCGGCCAAGUCUUCUAAGGUCUCGGCCCCUCGGCCGUCUCGGCCAAGCCUUCCAAGG